rnacentral:tRNA from 1 species
GCGUCCGUAGCUCAGUUGGUUAGAGCACCGCUUUGACAUAGCGGAGGUCAGUGAUUCAAAUUCACUCGGACGUACCA